GCAGAUUUCACUAUUUUUCUGUUUAUUAUUGCACCCAAAAUAAAUAUCUUUCGCAGUAUGUAAGAUAUGCAGGACAGUUUCAAGUUUUUCUUCAGUACAGAUGCUUCAUGUUGAACAUAGGAUUUAUUUUUUUCAGUUGAAAUCACAAAAUUCAAUACAGUGUUUUCAACUAUGUAUGGAAUGUACAGAAUGCAUUGAAACUGCAAAAAAAAAAAAAAAAAACCCAACCAACAACAACAACAAAAAAAACAACUUGUUGGAGAGAUGUAAAGAACUUGGGAAUAGUUGUUUGAAAUCAACAUCUAGGCUUUCAACUUCGAUUACCUGGGAUUACAACAAGGACAGUGAAAGCCUACAGACUCUGCAUCCAGAAUGUUGUAGAUGGGAAAAACUAUUUGAAGAACAUGAUGACUCUCAUCUUGUAAGAGCCUGGAGAGCAUCUGGACAUCUCUGGAAAGGUGGUUGAGGGAGGUUCCAGAUAAGGGAUGAAACAACGUGGGCGAGGAGAAAGGAGAAACUUUUUGUCAGUUACUGAGAAAGACGAGAAUGCAGCAGGAGGAAAAUACUGUUGUGCAGACAAGAGAAACGAUUCAAAAUGCAAUACCGAGAAAGGAAAGAAUAAACGAACAAAAUCCGUAGUUUCUAAGAGCGUUUGUUGAUGCUCCGUCUUUUCCAAAGCCAUGCCCAGGUGUUUGAUAGCCUCGGCCGAAGCAGCGUUGCAACGCAGCCCCGAGCCGCGCUCCUCGGCACUCGCCAGGCCGCCGAAGUUCCUCCGGGGCGGGCGGCCGGCCCGCCGCCUUUCUCCCUGCUCCCGAGUGGGACCGCCAGGGGGCGCUGUGAUGGCGAGGCGCCGGGCGGUUGGGAGGCGGGCAUCGAGCAGCGCUGCGUGGCGCCUGGAGCCUGAGCUGCGCGCCCCGCCCCGCCGGAACCUGGAGGGGGUAAAGGGGCGGCGCUAUCGGGGACGGGAAGGUGGCAGUUUCUAAAUGCGAAUUUUUAAAGGAGUUGGCAGAGUUCAUUUCUGAACGAGUGCGUUCAGAGUCACGUCCAGGAACAAGCGCAGUGUUCUCCUUUAACUCGUGAAUUGCAGCUUCCUGUUCCUGGGCAGCCGAGUGCAAAGCACAACGUAAAGCCAAAGCAACGCGUACUCAAACAGUUCAGCUCAUUCAUGUGCAAAUAGGUCUAUAACAUUUCCAAGCCAAAACUACGUAUAACAGCAUCACUUUAGGGGAGAAGACAAACGUAACCUGUCCCAUUAUCAUUAUCUCAUUGCAUUAUUAACUGUGGAACUGAAACCAUGAUAAUUUAGAAUGUGAUUACAAAUAAGUAAGAAAUAAGUAAAAAGCCCUCCGGCUUUUCAGAUCCUAAGUUCUUCAGGCACUUUCUUUAUU
ensembl:lncRNA